AAUCAUAGAAGCAACAUUAGAUAA
rnacentral:sRNA from 1 species